AGGACGAACGCUGGCGGCGCGCCUAAUACAUGCAAGUCGAGCGAGAACCAGGGCUUGCCCUGGGGAGAGCGGCGAACGGGUGCGUAUCACGUGAGCAACCUGCCUCAGAGACCGGAAUAACUCGAGGAAACUCGGGCUAAUGCCGGAUGCCCUCGGUGGACCGCAUGGUCCGGCGAGGAAAUGGAUUCCGCUCUGAGAUGGGCUCGCGGCCUAUCAGCUUGUUGGUGGGGUAACGGCCUACCAAGGCAACGACGGGUAGCUGGUCUGAGAGGACGAUCAGCCACACUGGGACUGAGACACGGCCCAGACUCCUACGGGAGGCAGCAGUAGGGAAUCUUGCGCAAUGGGCGAAAGCCUGACGCAGCGACGCCGCGUGCGGGAUGAAGGCCUUCGGGUCGUAAACCGCUUUCAGCAGGGACGAAAUUGACGGUACCUGCAGAAGAAGGCCCGGCCAACUACGUGCCAGCAGCCGCGGUGAUACGUAGGGGUCUAGCGUUGUCCGGAAUCAUUGGGCGUAAAGAGCUCGUAGGCGGUUCGGCAAGUCGGAUGUGAAAUCUCCACGCUCAACGUGGAGGGGCCAUUCGAAACUGCUGUGACUCGAGUCCGGUAGGGGAGUUCGGAAUUCCCGGUGUAGCGGUGAAAUGCGCAGAUAUCGGGAGGAACACCAGUGGCGAAGGCGGAACUCUGGGCCGGAACUGACGCUGAGGAGCGAAAGCGUGGGGAGCGAACGGGAUUAGAUACCCUGGUAGUCCACGCCGUAAACGUUGGGCACUAGGUGUGGGACUCUAUCGACGGGUUCCGUGCCGUAGCUAACGCAUUAAGUGCCCCGCCUGGGGAGUACGGCCGCAAGGCUAAA
rnacentral:rRNA from 1 species